GUCCCAGCAGCCGCGGUAAUACGGAGGAUGCGAGCGUUAUCCGGAUUUAUUGGGUUUAAAGGGUGCGUAGGCUGUUAUAUAAGUCAGUGGUGAAAUAUUCGGGCUCAACCGGGAUACUGCCAUUGAUACUGUAUAGCUGGAAUAUGGUUGCUGUGGGUGGAAUGUGUGGUGUAGCGGUGAAAUGCAUAGAUAUCACACAGAAUAUCGAUUGCGAAGGCAACUCACAAAGCCAUUAUUGACGCUGAUGCACGAAAGUGUGGGGAUCAAACAGGAUUAGAUACCCUGGUAGUCCACACUGUAAACGAUGAUAACUAGCUGUCGGCGAUAGAUAGUCGGUGGCUAAGCGAAAGCGAUAAGUUAUCCACCUGGGGAGUACGACCGCAAGGUUGAAACUCAAAGGAAUUGACGGGGGCCCGCACAAGCGGAGGAACAUGUGGUUUAAUUCGAUGAUACGCGAGGAACCUUACCCGGGCUCGAACGGUGCAGGAAUAUGGUAGAGAUAUCAUAGCUAGCAAUAGUCUGUAUCGAGGUGCUGCAUGGUUGUCGUCAGCUCGUGCCGUGAGGUGUCGGCUUAAGUGCCAUAACGAGCGCAACCCUUGUCGUUAGUUGCCAUCAAGUAAAGUUGGGGACUCUAGCGAGACUGCCACCGUAAGGUGCGAGGAAGGGGGGGAUGACGUCAAAUCAGCACGGCCCUUACGUCCGGGGCGACACACGUGUUACAAUGGCAGGUACAGAGGGCAGCUACCCAGUGAUGGGGUGCGAAUCUCGAAAGCCUGUCUCAGUUCGGAUCGGANUCUGCAACUCGACUCCAUGAAGUUGGAUUCGCUAGUAAUCGCGCAUCAGCCAUGGNGCGGUGAAUACGUUCCCGGGNCUUGUACACACCGCCCGUCAAGCCAUGG
rnacentral:rRNA from 1 species